rnacentral:lncRNA from 1 species
CUUCUAAUAUACCAGCAAGGGAGAGGAACUCUUUGCUACAAGCCCUUCAGCAGAGCACUCUCUGGUCCACAGGGGACACAGUUACAUGGUGCAGUGUGGGGCCCAGUUUAACUUCACCUCAUCUUUCCAGCAGUCCCACAACUCUUCAGAAAUGUGGGUGGAGAUCCGUUACACAUUCUUACUAUGGUUACGCGCCAUGAAAAACAGUAAGAACAGCCAACACAGCCUCCAGGUGGUGGAUCAACAUUAAUCAUAAUAGACCCAGGGGCAGAGGAUUGGCAAGAUACCAUGAGAAAUCGUUGUACGUCCAUCCCCUUGAACUCCACUGACCUCCCAUGGGGGACAGGGAUAUGGGCUAAUGUUUGCCUGACGUAGACAGAAGCCAUGGAGGUCUGCAAAUUCAUUUCAGAUCAUCAGAUGUCCUAUAAAGGUCCAAAGUACUUAUCAUUCAAUGACUUUGCAAGAGCAUUUCAAACAUGCUGCACAAUUAACAGGGAUUUUGAAGGCAGGAGAACUAGCAAGAAGAUCUGUCUCCUGCGCUGAUGUCAGUAGCGGUGUGCAGAAGAGUCCCAAGAUCUAUGGGAAUAUUCUUGUAAAACCAUCUCUGAAGCUUGUAAGUAUUUUGCAUGCCUGGAAGGUUGUCUAGAAAUUCCCACCGU